rnacentral:rRNA from 1 species
AGGCGAAGAAGGACGUGAUAAGCUGCGAUAAGCUAGGGGGAGAGGCAAAUACUCAUUAUAUCCCUAGAUUUCCGAAUGGGACAACCCAGUAUGUUGAAGACAUAUUAUCCAUCGUAAGAUGAGAAGCAAACCCGCUGAACUGAAACAUCUAAGUAGGCGGAGGAGGAGAAAAUAAAUAAUGAUUCCGUAAGUAGUGGCGAGCGAACGCGGAACAGCCCAAACCAGUGUUGUUACGGCAACACUGGGGUUAUAGGACUACAAUGUGGACUUAUAUAUUAUAGUGGAACAGGUUUGGAAAGGCCGAUCAAAGAGGGUGAUAAUCCCGUACACGACAUAAUUUAUAUACCUAGUAGUAUCCUGAGUACUGCGGGGUCGGAGACGCCCUGUAGGAAUUUGCCGGCACCAUCCGGUAAGGCUAAAUACUCCCAAGAUACCGAUAGUGAACUAGUACUGUGAAGGAAAGGUGAAAAGAACCGCGAACAGCGGAGUGAAAUAGAACCUGAAACCAUGCGCUUACAAGCGGUCGGAGCCCUUAAGUGGGGUGACGGCGUGCCUUUUGUAUAAUGAGCCUACGAGUUACUCUUCAUUGGCAAGGUUAAGGAUUUAAGGUCCGUCAACCGCAGCGAAAGCGAGUCUGAAUAGGGCGUAUAGUCAGUGGAGGUAGACGCGAAACCUUGUGAUCUACCCAUGGGCAGGUUGAAGCUCCGAUAACACGGAGUGGAGGACCGAACCGAUAAGCGUUGAAAAGCUUCCGGAUGACCUGUGGGUAGGGGUGAAAGGCUAAUCAAACUGGGAAAUAGCUCGUACUCCCCGAAAUGCCUUUAGGGGCAGCGUGGUGGUAAAGUUUUAUAGAGGUAGAGCUACUGAUUGGAUGCGGGGGAAGCGAUUCCUACCAAGUCCUGACAAACUCCGAAUGCUAACAGAUAUACACUGCAGUGAGCCAUUGGGUGCUAAGGUCCAAUGACGAAAGAGAGAGAACUCAGACCAACAGCUAAGGUCCCCAAAUCUAUUCUAAGUUGAUAUAACGUGGUGCGACUGCAUUGACAGCCAGGAUGUUUGCUUGGAAGCAGCCAUUCAUUUAAAGAGUGCGUAACAGCUCACUGGUCGAGCGGUCGUGCGUGGACGAUACUCGGGCAUCAAGAAUAGUACCGAAGCUUUGGACUUAAAUUUAUUUAAGUGGUAGGGGAGCAUUCUAACUGCGUAGAAGAAGUUGCGUGAGCGCUAUUGGAGCGGUUAGAAAAGCAAAUGUAGGCAUAAGUAACGAUAAAAUAGGCGAGAAACCUAUUCGCCGAUAGACUAAGGUUUCCUGAACAACGAUAAUCGAUUCAGGGUCAGUCGGGACCUAAGGUGAAGCCGAAGGGCGUAAUCGAUGGACAACUGGUUAAUAUUCCAGUACUUGUAUCACUGCGAUGGAGAGACGCAGGCGCGUAAGGUCAGCGAACUGACGGAAUAGUUCGUUUAAGUGCGUAGGUUUAGGUUCUGUAGGCAAAUCCGCAGAGCUUCUGAAACAUGAAAGUAGCCAGAGUCGUCAGACAAAGGCAUUGACCCCAAGCAUACUGCCAAGAAAAUCUUCUAAGCUUCAGGUGAAUACAACCCGUACCGCAAACCGACACAGGUAGUCAAGUAGAAUAUACUAAGGCGCUCGAGUGAUCCGCGGCUAAGGAACUAGGCAAAUUAACCCUGUAACUUCGGGAAAAAGGGUGCCACCAGCAAUGGUGGCCGCAGAGAAAUGGCGGUGGCGACUGUUUAACAAAAACACAGGGCUUUGCAAAACUGAAAGGUGAAGUAUAAGGCCUGACACCUGCCCGGUGCCGGAAGGUUAAGAGGAGAGGUUAGCGUAAGCGAAGCUUUGAAUUGAAGCCCCGGUAAACGGCGGCCGUAACUAUAACGGUCCUAAGGUAGCGAAAUUCCUUGUCGGGUAAGUUCCGACCUGCACGAAUGGUGUAACGAUCU